CCUACGGGAGGCAGCAGUGAGGAAUAUUGGUCAAUGGCCGUAAGGCUGAACCAGCCAAGUCGCGUGAAGGAAGAAGGAUCUAUGGUUUGUAAACUUCUUUUAUAGGGGAAUAAAGGUAUCCACGUGUGGAUAUUUGCAUGUACCCUAUGAAUAAGCAUCGGCUAACUCCGUGCCAGCAGCCGCGGUAAUACGGAGGAUGCGAGCGUUAUCCGGAUUUAUUGGGUUUAACGGGUGCGUAGGUUGUUUUUUAAGUCAGCGGUGAAAGUUUGUGGCUCAACCAUAAAAUUGCCGUGGAAACUGGAAGACUUGAGUGUGUUUGAGGUAGGCGGAAUGCGUGGUGUAGCGGUGAAAUGCAUAGAUAUCACGCAGAACUCCGAUUGCGAAGGCAGCUUACUAAGCCAUAACUGACACUGAAGCACGAAAGCGUGGGGAGCAAACAGGAUUAGAUACCCCUGUAGUC
rnacentral:rRNA from 1 species